rnacentral:rRNA from 1 species
GAUGAACGCUGGCGGCGUGCCUAAUACAUGCAAGUCGAGCGAACAGACGAGGAGCUUGCUCCUCUGACGUUAGCGGCGGACGGGUGAGUAACACGUGGAUAACCUACCUAUAAGACUGGGAUAACUUCGGGAAACCGGAGCUAAUACCGGAUAAUAUAUUGAACCGCAUGGUUCAAUAGUGAAAGACGGUUUUGCUGUCACUUAUAGAUGGAUCCGCGCCGCAUUAGCUAGUUGGUAAGGUAACGGCUUACCAAGGCAACGAUGCGUAGCCGACCUGAGAGUGUGAUCGGCCACACUGGAACUGAGACACGGUCCAGACUCCUACGGGAGGCAGCAGUAGGGAAUCUUCCGCAAUGGGCGAAAGCUUGACGGAGCAACGCCGCGUGAGUGAUGAAGGUCUUCGGAUCGUAAAACUCUGUUAUUAGGGAAGAACAAAUGUGUAAGUAACUAUGCACGUCUUGACGGUACCUAAUCAGAAAGCCACGGCUAACUACGUG